rnacentral:tRNA from 1 species
UGUCACCCGCUCUGCACCGCCGACACGACCACGCUGGUGGAUCAGGUAGGCUGGUGCUCGCACCGAUCGGUGG